GGGAGUCGGGCGCAAAGACAGCGCAGUGAGAGGUGCUGGGAGUGGCUGCUGGGGUCCGAGGUGGGAGGACCAGGCCUGUCUCGCUGAGGCCUGCGGCCCAGAAGAGACUGGAAGGGAUAGCCUCGCAUGUGAUGCCCCACUGUGAGGCCCUCGGCUGUUAAUUAUGACAAGAUUUCAAGGAAGAAAGUUUCCACCCAGCGGCCAGCAGGUUUUUGUGGCUGAUUUGGCCAAGGCCAGGUCUCUAGUUCCAAGUUCCUAAUAGAAAUAUCUUUCUGGUUCUGUUCGGCUCGCAUCCCCAUUCAGAACCCCACUGGCUCCAAGAGUCCAUCAUCGGGUUCCCACAUUUGUCUUGGCCCGAGAACGUUCCAAGGCGGAGAUCAGAGACCAGGAAUUUGGAAGCCUCUUGUUGUCUCUGGGGCCAACCAUUUCCAGCAGCAUGGCUGAAUCCUGGGCGUCUGUUGCUGCCAUUUCUCCAUCCAGAAAGGGGCCAGACCUAGAUGCCCAUCUGACCUUUGAAGAAGGGACAAAGAAAAUGAGGCUUGGAGAGAACCUGACUUGCCCGAGAUCACAGAUUGGCAGAAACAGGACUUCAACCCAAGUCUAUGGAGUGCCAAGACCCUUAUGAUAUUCUGCCCGGCGGUUGUUUCAAGGACGAAGGGGUCACAAGUGACUGAACCCACUUUGGCAAGUGUGUAAUGACACGUCAGCUGAAAGGAUUUGGAAGACUAGAAAAAGCAGUUCUGUGUCUUGAGUCUCUGGCGCUGCAGUCCUCAUGUCUUACAGUGGAGUGCAGCGUAGACAGACAGCAAUGGAGCACAUGAAUGAGAGACCAGAAGAAGGAAGCAGGGAGGUCUGCAAGGUGGUACCCUGCAGUUGUCUCACUGCAAGCUGUUGGGUUUGCCAGCCUUUGCUGUCAUCGGUAAUAUUGAAGCAGGGGUGUUCUUGACAAGCUAAUGCAAUGGUUGGAUUUAUUCCAUUUCAGGGUUAGACUAAUGGCAAUCAGUGAAAACA
ensembl:lncRNA